rnacentral:rRNA from 1 species
AUGUCUGUGACGGGGCAAGAGUGGCACGACGACGGCCACUACGAGGUGCUCCGCCUCCCCUUCGGCGAGGAAGGCAUGGCGCUGAGCGUCGAGCGGAUCGAGAAGGCCUACAAGACGCAAUUGCGGCUCCGGCACUCUAACAAGCGCCCCGGCGACCCCAACGCCACGACCGACUUCCAGAGCCUCGCCAGCUCAUACAAGUUCCUCCGGGACGAGUCCCUCCACUGCCAGUUCGACGCUCGUUUCCGCGGCCGCCGCAAGACCGCCGCCCGCGCCGCGGCCUUAGGGGUCAAGCGGCAGAAGGUCUCACCGACGAGGAGGCUCCCAACAAAGCUUGGCGACUCCCUGUAG